GUUAGCAAACAAGAAGGGAAAGAUCUUGUCUUCAAUCUCCUACCAUAUAUGUACAGCGUCCUUCCAUUCUAUUUACUUUUACAUACACGUCAAUAAUACUGAGGGGGUGGCAAAAACAUCAGAAAACACAGCAGACUAAAGAAAAGCAGACAAGGUCGGAGCUGUCCAAGGAGCAGUGAGAGGAAAAGGUGAUUAUCCUGGCAAAAGCCCACAGGUUUUCCUGAGCUUCGCCAAUUUUUUUACUUGAGCCAAAAUUCCUCUCCCAAAGGCAACACCAUUCAAUCAGUGGUAAUGGGUACACAAUGAGACCUUUGGAGGUGCCAGUGUGACUGAAGAUUUCCCAAGGACUCCUGAUCUCCCACCCACCUAUGAUGUGCCUGAUUGCUCACAAGUAAACACUUAGACAAUAGGAUGUACGGUGAAGAUUAACAAGAUUGGGGAUAUCCACUGAAGGUUUGUUCCUGCAAUACACUGAAUAGGCUGAGCAUUUAAGGAAGCCAGUGGAAUUUGAGAAUGUAAAGCUAUCUGCUGGCUGAAGGCAUGAAGAGAUGUGUUGCACUACUUAUGUUGUGC